rnacentral:snRNA from 1 species
CUACCAUUCUACGAACAUAUCCUAAAAUCGAAAAAAUACAGCGAAAAUUAUCAUAACCCUACGCAAAGAUGACACGCAUAUCACUUGCAGCGUUUAAAAAUUUU